rnacentral:rRNA from 1 species
CAAGCGGAUCAUUGACAUUGAAAGGAAAGAACUCAUACGGAGCGGGGCGAGGGUGUAAGGACGCCGCGCGGCGAGGCCGCGGGCACCGGUGGUGUCGGCGGCUGGUCGAGGAGGGAGGCUGCACGUCGGGGAGGGGCUGGAGCGGAGCGAAGGGACGCCCCAAGGGGAACGGCGACAAGCGCGUCAGUCUAGACCACCGAAGGGAAAAGGGUGUCGACCGCCCCUAGAGGUGCCUAGACGUGCAGACUCAGCGGCGAGGCGGUAGGCGCCGGGCGCGCCGGCAGGGAUUACACGGAUGUGACAGGGGGUUCCAGGCGAAAGGGCGGAUACUACGAGACGACCUUCCGUGAGGAGGUGGGGGGUAGGUACCACGCGUAGCCGGUACGGAGUUUAGCCGCCCCAAAAACUGAAAAACGGUGGUCAAUGAAACGUGAAACUAUUAAACGGUGAGGAAUGUAGUAUUAACUAGAUAACGGUGAGAAAUGUAACCUGAAACUAAAAAACGGGAGACAGUCUACCCAGGGCGUAUAUUACUGGUUUUACGGGUACGAGGGUCUAACUGGUCCUUGCUGAGUAGGGGAAGGAGAGCGGCCGUCGUUGCGGUCCUCUGGCGCCGCCGAUGAGCUGCCGCUCAGCGCGAGCCAUCAGGAGCUGCCGGCUACCGGUACCAAAAGGCGCCCCUGAUGUAGGGCCGCUCAGACUGGCCGCUCGGCCGGUGGCGCAACGGCGACGUCGAGGAGACUGGUGCUGACUUCCCUGUGCAGCAUGUGGUGCCGCGCCUGCCCUACCCUGCUGGGAAGGGAAGCGGCGGAGGCUGUCGUCGUCGAGCAGGUACCACGCCUAACGUCUUCGGCUGCGGCACGAGCUGAGGCAGUCAGGCAGGUGGACGAACACGUCCAGCAGGGCGCAUCAGGAGCUCGGCGUACCGGAGGCGGAGGCACGUGCAUAGGUCGUCGUUGCCGGCGGCCGGAACAUGCCGACGAGGAGGAGAUGCGCUGCAGUUUGACGUGGUACCUAAUUGUCCCGUACGUCGGUGUCUCGGACGUUGAAAGACAAGAAAAGAAAAACAUUACAAGAAUCUCGGGCGUAGAAUUAGGUAGAGAAGAAACGUACCUACCUACGUAUUCAUACUCGUUGUACCUCACUAAGAUUCAAGUCUUGUAGUUAAACCUGUUAUCAAUUAAUCAUUAAGGAAUGUAACAAGGGAGCGACGACGAGGAAAACGAAAACGACGAACGGCGAAAACGAGGAGAGACGUCGUCUUGGGGCCGCCGGUGCGAUCACACAUGGAGAUAUUGUAAGAGAGUACACGCUCGGUCGAGCGAGACUCGUCGCUCCUCCCCCGGUGGAGAAGUCGUUGGACCUCUGCGCGGCCAGAAGAACCACCGUGUCCAAACCGACAGGAGGCACAGUCCCGCCGCCCUCGUCGUGCUCGUCGUUCCCUCCGUCCCUAGUCGUGUCGACACGGUGGCUGCGGUCG